rnacentral:rRNA from 1 species
GGAUAACUUCGCGAAAGCGUAGCUAAUGCCGGAUAAUGUCCUGUUGACUUCGGUCUUCAGGAUGAAAGAUGACCUCUUCAUGAAAGUUGUCGUUCAGGGAGGGGCCCGCGUACCAUUAGCUUGUUGGUGGGGUAAUGGCCCACCAAGGCAACGAUGGUUAGCUGGUCUGAGAGGAUGAUCAGCCACACUGGAACUGAAACACGGUCCAGACUCCUACGGGAGGCAGCAGUGAGGAAUUUUGCGCAAUGGGGGAAACCCUGACGCAGCAACGCCGCGUGAGUGAGAAGGCUUUCGGGUCGUAAAGCUCUGUCAAGUGGGAAAAAAAGCUCUCGAUUAAUAGUCGGGAGACCUGAUGCUACCACUGGAGGAAGCACCGGCUAACUCCGUGCCAGCAGCCGCGGUAAUACGGAGGGUGCAAGCGUUGUUCGGAAUUACUGGGCGUAAAGAGCGUGUAGGCGGUUUGGCAAGUCAGAUGUGAAAGCCCUGGGCUCAACCCAGGAAGUGCAUUUGAAACUGCCAUCCUUGAGUAUGGGAGAGGAGAGUGGAAUUCCCAAUGUAGAGGUGAAAUUCGUAGAUAUUGGGAGGAACACCCGUGGCGAAGGCGACUCUCUGGACCAAUACUGACGCUGAGACGCGAAAGCGUGGGGAGCAAACAGGAUAGAUACCCUGGUAGUCCACGCCGUAAACGAUGAGAACUAGGUGUAGCGGGUAUUGACCCCUGCUGUGCCGAAGUUAACGCAUUAAGUUCUCCGCCUGGGGAGUACGGCCGCAAGGCUAAAACUCAAAGGAAUUGACGGGGGCCCGCACAAGCGGUGGAGCAUGUGGUUUAAUUCGACGCAACGCGAAGAACCUUACCUGGGUUUGACAUCCUUUGACCGUCUGGGAAACCAGAUUUUUCCGACUUUGUCGGAACAGAGUGACAGGUGCUGCAUGGCUGUCGUCAGCUCGUGUCGUGAGAUGUUGGGUUAAGUCCCGCAACGAGCGUAACCCUUGUCUUUAGUUGCCUUUAUUAAGUUAGGCACUCUAAAGAGACCGCCUCGGUUAACGGGGAGGAAGGUGGGGAUGACGUCAAGUCCUCAUGGCCUUUAUAUCCAGGGCUACACACGUGCUACAAUGGGCUGUACAAAGGGUUGCUAGUCUGCGAAGAGGAGCUAAUCCCAAAAAGCAGCUCUCAGUUCGGAUUGGAGUCUGCAACUCGACUCCAUGAAGUUGGAAUCGCUAGUAAUCGUGGAUCAGCAUGCCACGGUGAAUACGUUCCCGGGCCUUGUACACACCGCCCGUCACACCACGAAAGUCGGCUGUACCAGAAGUUGCUGGGCUAACCCCCUUGGGGGAGGUAGGUACCUAAGGUACGGUCGGUAAUUG